rnacentral:rRNA from 1 species
UACGGAGGGGGCUAGCGUUGUUCGGAAUUACUGGGCGUAAAGCGCACGUAGGCGGCUUUGUAAGUUAGAGGUGAAAGCCCGGAGCUCAACUCCGGAAUUGCCUUUAAGACUGCAUCGCUUGAAUCCAGGAGAGGUGAGUGGAAUUCCGAGUGUAGAGGUGAAAUUCGUAGAUAUUCGGAAGAACACCAGUGGCGAAGGCGGCUCACUGGACUGGUAUUGACGCUGAGGUGCGAAAGCGUGGGGAGCAAACAGGG